UACGGGGGGGGUAAGCGUUGUUCGGAAUUACUGGGCGUAAAGGGCUCGUAGGCGGCCAACUAAGUCGGACGUGAAAUCCCUCAGCUUAACUGGGGAACUGCGUCCGAUACUGGAUGGCUUGGAUUUGGGAGAGGGAUGCGGAAUUCCAGGUGUAGCGGUGAAAUGCGUAGAUAUCUGGAGGAACACCGGUGGCGAAGGCGGCAUCCUGGACCAACAUUGACGCUGAGGAGCGAAAGCGUGGGGAGCAAACAGG
rnacentral:rRNA from 1 species